UGAGCUAUUCCCUGAUAUCACCCUGUGGCCA
rnacentral:piRNA from 1 species